rnacentral:lncRNA from 1 species
CUUUGGGAGGCUGAGGCAGGUGGAUUGUUUGAGGUCAGUAGUUUGAGACCAGCUAACAUGGCGAACCCUUGUCUCUUUUAAAAAUACAAAAAUUAGCCAGGUGUGGUAGUACGUGCCUGUAAUGCCAGCUACUUGGGAGGCUGAGGCAGGAGAAUCGCUUGAACCCAGAAGGUGGAGCUUGCAGUGAGCUGAGAUCGUGCCACUGCACUCCAACCUGGGCAAUAGAGCGAGACUCUAUCUCAAAAAAAAAAAAAUGAAGAAGAAGAAAAAAGAGAACUUGUCAAUGGAUACUAAAGUAAGGUAUAUAUUGGCCAAGGUACAUACAAAGGAAUAUCCAGAGACUAGUCACGCUCUCUUUUUUUUUUUUUGGAAGACAGGGUCUCACUCUGUCACCGAAGCUGGAGUACAGUGGCACAAUCAUGGCUCACUGUAUGCUUGAACUCCUGGGUUCAAGUGAUCUUCCUGCCUCAGCCUCCUGAGUAGCUGCGACUACAGGCACAUGCCACCACACCCAACUAAUUUUUUUUAGAGACAGCAUCUCACUAUGUUGCACAGCCUGGUCUUGAAUUCAAGGCCUCAAGCAGUCCUCCCACAUGGGCCUCCCAAAGUGCUGGGAUUACAAGCAUCAGCUACCGCACCUGGCCUACUCUCCCUUAUUUAAUGAAAACACAAUAAUCAGUAAUAAGCUACACUGCACUCUAGCCUGAGUGACAGAGCAAGACUCUGUCACACACACAAAAAAUAAUAAUAAUAAUAAGCUAUAAAGAAAACAUAUAAAUCUUAUAUUAGAAAAAUUUUAGACUUUUCAAAGUGCUUCACAUUCAUAUUCUAUCACACCAUUGCAAAAUAUCCUAACAGUAAGUGACAAAUCCAAAAUUACAAAAGUAGUUGAUCAGAUCUGAAACCUGAUUCAAAAAACAUGUUUGCUCUAUGGGAGGAAAUAUAAAUAUGUAUAAAUUCCUUCUUUAUGCUAAUUUUCUUACUCAUUCCUAGUUAAAAUAUCACUUAUCAGACCUAGGCUAUUGCAAACAUGGAAGUAAAAUUCAGUAAAACAAAGCCAAAAGUACCACUUUUUUUAUUUAGCCAGUCUACCCUUCAACCAGGAAUCAUAUGAAAAACAUUCCAUCAAUGUUCUGUGUGUUUAAGACUGUGCUGGGCACUGGGGUGACUAGAAGAGAAUUCAAAUAGCGUUCUUUGCUUUUCAGAAAGUAUGCACUCCAUUUGAUAAAAAGACAAGAAAAAAAGAAAACAAAGCCAAGCUGUGUUCAAACAAUCCUCCUAAAGGAAGAAAACUUACUGUGUGGUUCUGUAAAACUCCAGGUAACAAGGAUACCAAGAAGUGAGAUAGCAGAGUUUAGUCUGAAACAACCUCAUGGGGAAAAAAAAAAAAUGAAAUCUGAGCUGAACAUUGAAGGAUGGACAGGAAUUAGAAAAGCACAAAGGAGGAAUUAAAGCAUUCAGGCAGAGACUGGCAGAAAUAAAGGCCAAGAAGUGGGAAGAAGCAUGAUACACACAGAAGAGACUGAGGUGACCUGCCUGGAACAUAGGUGCAUGCAGAGGCAUAAUGGGAAAGAGUUUGGUAAAUCAAGUGGGGUCAGCUCCCAAUAGACUGCUGGGUCACAGAGACAUGCUGUUAGAAUAUUAAAAUCAUCGAAUAUUUAAACUUGAAAGAAUCUAAAAGAUUUUCUAGCCAUUUCUUUUUCAACAGAUGAGGAAAUCAAGGAUCUAUAGGAAAGCUAAUGGCUAGGAUAGGGACAAAGGCACUGAAUAGCAGAACAAAACUAAGACCCCCGCUAAGGAACUCCAAUUCAGUAGAAAAGUAUUGUGUCUUGGGAACUGGAAGAGAUUGGUUUCCGGGGGGAGUGGAACAUCACAGUGGCAUUACAACUAAGCAAUGACCACUAUGUUUUGCCAGAAGUAAUCACUUUCAAGAAAACAGCAAUCAAGCAGAGGCAGGAGCUACUUUUCAGAGUUAUAAAGGAAAUGGGUGGAUAAACAGUAGAGGCGGUGAGUAUCUGGCAACAACAACAACAAAAAAGACUGGUCCACAGAGAGAGAGCUGCAGGACCAAGUAAACGUCUGAUUUCCAAGAGAAAGGAAAUCUUAGCCUGAAAAGUGAAAAGAAAGCAGCCAACAUAAAGACUAAAUUAGUUCCCAGACAGAUAAGGUGGAAAGUGUAAGGGAGUGCAGAGAACUGAGGAACAGCUGGAAGAAAUCUUUCUAAAGGAUGAAUUCCGGGCCGGGCACGGUGGCUCAUGCCUGUAAUCCCAGCACUUUGGGAAGUCAAGGCAGGUGGAUCACGACAUCAAGAAAUUCAGACCCAUCCUGGCUAGCACGGUGAAACCCUGUCUCUACUAAAAAUACAAAAUUAGCUGGGCGUGGUGGCAUGCGCCUGUAGUCCCAGCUACUUGGGAGGCUGAGGCAGGAGAAUCGCUUGAACCCAGGAGGCAGACGUUGCAGUGAGCUGAGAUCGCGCCACUGCACUCCAGCCUGGGCGACAGAGUGAGACUCCAUCUCAAAAUAAAUAAAUAAAUAAAAAUUUAAAAUAACAAUAAUAAUAAAUUAAAAAAUUCCGAAGCAAAGAAUAAGCAUUAUUGUGCUCGAUUCAGCACCACAUAUACUAAAAUUGGAAGAAUAAGCAUUAUUUCUCACUCACCAUAAAGAAUUCGUCACCAUAAAAGAGUACUCAUUUUCAACUACUAUAAGGCCUUAUAAAAAUUACACACCAGGCUUGAAGAAUGAGGCUAGGAGAUAUUUUUUAAAUCCAAAAAGCUUCAGUUUUGCAAAUCUAUUUGUCUAAUCAGUAUGUGGUUUGUAAUUUCGAAGAUACUUGCCAAUCAUUUUAUACUGUGAAUCACUCACCGCAUAUUCAACGUACAUUCAGAUGAACACUCAAUGUAUGAGAACAACAAAUAUGCUACUACAACCUCUAAAAUCAGAGUUUAUUCCAUAACAUAUUCUUUAAAUUGGGUUUUUUGGCUUUUAUGUACUACUUUUGCUUGAUCAGAUAUGGAAAAUAUAAUUGCUUUAAAUGAACAUAUUUACAACAAAUCAUUUUGGGAUGGAGUUCUUUUUAAUUCUUUUUUUUUUUUUUUUAGUUCAAAUAUCCAUAGUUUUCCCAUACUUCCCUUCAGAAAUAAAGCUCUACAGGAACCAGUGGGGCAUACAGAACUAGGGGAGAUACACAGAAGGUUCUAAUUUGCUUAGAAACUGGGUUAAUGAACCACAAUUAAAAGCUACACAUGGCCGGGCGUGGUGGCUCACCCCAAAAUCAUUCCUCUCUUAAGUAUCUUUUUCCAAUAUGGCAAAUAAGCCUAGAGAUGAACAGGUAAGAAGUAAAAAAAUAAAAUUAAGAAAAAACUGAAAAAAAUUUUUAAUUUUUAAAAUUUAAGGAGAAUUGCGGCGUGGAUCCUUCAAUUUCCUACAUCCAGAUUCUGCUGUCCACAAGGUUCAGCUUUGGAAGUCUUCUAUGUGCCUUUUAAAUCCUUUCUUAAAAUUACAGAGUCUUUUCUACCAAGUUUUAAAUCUAACGCUCUAUCAAUAAUGUAAUCUUUUAUAUGCAGUAACAUUAUACUUCAGAUGGAUUAGUAGUUUAGUUUAGAUGCCUUUGGGUCUGGAAGCAUACGAAUGGAUAAAACAAUUCCUUCAAGUCUCUGACAGCUUCAUAACUCUAUUUUAUCUACAUAGCUUCUUCUCAACUUCCUCUGUCUAUUCCAAGAUAUUUUCCAGGUAGGUCUGAAACGCUGAGUCCCGUAAAGAAAUGUUUAUGCAUCAAAUAACAGAAGAGCUCUUCCCCCACCCCUUCAGCUCCCAUAAUGUUUUACCAUUAUAUCCAGUAAACAAAAUAGGUUGACUCAAUCUUAAACAAUUCCCCCAUCACAGGAAGCCCACUGCACCCACAGCUGCAGAAAGCAUCCCUUAAACCAUCCCCAACUACCUACAGCAACACAAAGUUAAACCAAUUUCCACUGACAAAAGGCUAUGUGUGCAUUUAUUCUAAUCAGCCCCAGGAUUUAUUGUGUGAAACUCAGGCGAUAAAAAGUCACCUCCUCAAGCUACAAAACUUUUUUUUCAUCCCAAAUAUUCUCAAUGAAAGUUCUCUUGUCAACCAGGAGAGAGUCAAAAACAACCACAAACACUAGCAGAAUGAUCCGCUCCAGGACCACAUCCCAGCUGGCUUUGCUCUGUUGUCGGUGGCUCUGAAGCAGUUUCUCACUUUCCUUUCACCCUUCUCCCCUUUACUCCCCAACAUUCUCACUCGAGAAUGCAUCACAUCCUCAGACCGCUGGCAAAAAAAAAAGGGGGGGGGGAAGAGACUGCAAUUAUCAAGGAAGGGGAAGAUAUUUCAGAACCACGGUUUCCACUGCAAACGGCAAUAAAAAAAAAAGGCAGUCUGUGUCAUCAGGAUAUGGGGGACGACGUUGUAGGGCAUCACAAAGAUGUGCAGUGAGUGUGCACUUGAAGCUCUCGGGGCAGGAUGAGACGAUGGAGCAGAAAGUAAGAAAACCUGUGCCUUCCUUGCUUUCUUCUGCUCUUCCCCCUCCAGGAGAGGAAGCUGAAGAAACUGGGGGAGGGGCGGAAUGUUAUCGUUCUCCUAUUGAGGGUAUAUAAGACAGGCCUUAGGGUUCGCUCGUCCCCAGUUAGGAGGGUCACGGAGGGAAGAGGAAGAGAGAACCCCUAAACGUUACCCACCUCUGCUCAAAAACAAAAGUAAGGGGGUAAUUAUUAAAUCCAGAUGGCGCGCCCCUAAAGGCGCCCCCAGGUCACUCAUCCCCAUUUCCAAGCGGAAGGGCUGGGAUAAAGGGGAUGGAGGGUCGGAGGCUGGUCAGGGACAAGGCCCCACCCCCCGACUUAGGAGGGAAAGGGUGCCCAAGCUCCCAGCUGUCCCCUCCUACCCCUCACCUCCCGCCUUGGCCACCCCCACUUAUCCCCCCUUCCCUUCUCUUCCCUUCCCUUCCUUUCCUCCAGAGCCUGAGGCAGCCGCGGGGGAGGCGGCCGCUCCUACCUCCCCUCACCUACUCUGUCCCCACCCCCACUCCGCUCCCACCUCCCGCCCGCCACGGGCCGGUUACCUGCUCGUCGAAGCGGCUGACCACGGCCUGGACCCAUUCCACCGGCCUGUGCGCGGCCAUGUCCUCCCCGCGGCCGGGGGGCGGCGGAGGGAAGGGUGGGCCGGCGCCCUGGGCCGGGAAGAGGGCGGGGAGCGGAGGCUGAGAGACAAGGUCUGACUCUGUGCAGUGGAGUGCAGUGGCUCAAUCAUAGCUCACUCCAGCCUCAGACUCCUGGGCCGAAGUGAUCCUCCCACCUCAAGCUCCUGAAUAGCUGGGACUACAGCUGGGCAUGGUGGCAUGUGCCUGUGGUUCCAGUUACUUGGGAAGCUGAAGUGGGAGGAUCGCUUGAGCCCAGGAGGUCAAGGCUACAGUGAGCUGUGAUGGUGUCAUUGCAUUCCAGCACUCCAGCCCGGGCAUCAGAGUUAGACCUUGUCUUAAAAAAUAAAUAAAUGAAUAAAUAUAAAUAAAAAAUAAAAAGCUUUUACAG